AGUGUUGUGGCUCAGUGGUAGAGCACUUGCCUACCAUGUGUGAGGCACUGGGUUCAAUUCUCAUCACCACAU
rnacentral:tRNA from 1 species